rnacentral:rRNA from 1 species
UUAAGCGACUAAGCGUACACGGUGGAUGCCCUGGCAGUCAGAGGCGAUGAAGGACGUGCUAAUCUGCGAUAAGCGUCGGUAAGGUGAUAUGAACCGUUAUAACCGGCGAUUUCCGAAUGGGGAAACCCAGUGUGUUUCGACACACUAUCAUUAACUGAAUCCAUAGGUUAAUGAGGCGAACCGGGGGAACUGAAACAUCUAAGUACCCCGAGGAAAAGAAAUCAACCGAGAUUCCCCCAGUAGCGGCGAGCGAACGGGGAGGAGCCCAGAGCCUGAAUCAGUGUGUGUGUUAGUGGAAGCGUCUGGAAAGGCGCGCGAUACAGGGUGACAGCCCCGUACACAAAAACGCACAUGCUGUGAGCUCGAUGAGUAGGGCGGGACACGUGGUAUCCUGUCUGAAUAUGGGGGGACCAUCCUCCAAGGCUAAAUACUCCUGACUGACCGAUAGUGAACCAGUACCGUGAGGGAAAGGCGAAAAGAACCCCGGCGAGGGGAGUGAAAAAGAACCUGAAACCGUGUACGUACAAGCAGUGGGAGCCUCUUUUAUGGGGUGACUGCGUACCUUUUGUAUAAUGGGUCAGCGACUUAUAUUCUGUAGCAAGGUUAACCGAAUAGGGGAGCCGAAGGGAAACCGAGUCUUAACUGGGCGUUAAGUUGCAGGGUAUAGACCCGAAACCCGGUGAUCUAGCCAUGGGCAGGUUGAAGGUUGGGUAACACUAACUGGAGGACCGAACCGACUAAUGUUGAAAAAUUAGCGGAUGACUUGUGGCUGGGGGUGAAAGGCCAAUCAAACCGGGAGAUAGCUGGUUCUCCCCGAAAGCUAUUUAGGUAGCGCCUCGUGAAUUCAUCUCCGGGGGUAGAGCACUGUUUCGGCAAGGGGGUCAUCCCGACUUACCAACCCGAUGCAAACUGCGAAUACCGGAGAAUGUUAUCACGGGAGACACACGGCGGGUGCUAACGUCCGUCGUGAAGAGGGAAACAACCCAGACCGCCAGCUAAGGUCCCAAAGUCAUGGUUAAGUGGGAAACGAUGUGGGAAGGCCCAGACAGCCAGGAUGUUGGCUUAGAAGCAGCCAUCAUUUAAAGAAAGCGUAAUAGCUCACUGGUCGAGUCGGCCUGCGCGGAAGAUGUAACGGGGCUAAACCAUGCACCGAAGCUGCGGCAGCGACACUAUGUGUUGUUGGGUAGGGGAGCGUUCUGUAAGCCUGUGAAGGUGUACUGUGAGGUAUGCUGGAGGUAUCAGAAGUGCGAAUGCUGACAUAAGUAACGAUAAAGCGGGUGAAAAGCCCGCUCGCCGGAAGACCAAGGGUUCCUGUCCAACGUUAAUCGGGGCAGGGUGAGUCGACCCCUAAGGCGAGGCCGAAAGGCGUAGUCGAUGGGAAACAGGUUAAUAUUCCUGUACUUGGUGUUACUGCGAAGGGGGGACGGAGAAGGCUAUGUUGGCCGGGCGACGGUUGUCCCGGUUUAAGCGUGUAGGCUGGUUUUCCAGGCAAAUCCGGAAAAUCAAGGCUGAGGCGUGAUGACGAGGCACUACGGUGCUGAAGCAACAAAUGCCCUGCUUCCAGGAAAAGCCUCUAAGCAUCAGGUAACAUCAAAUCGUACCCCAAACCGACACAGGUGGUCAGGUAGAGAAUACCAAGGCGCUUGAGAGAACUCGGGUGAAGGAACUAGGCAAAAUGGUGCCGUAACUUCGGGAGAAGGCACGCUGAUAUGUAGGUGAAGCGACUUGCUCGUGGAGCUGAAAUCAGUCGAAGAUACCAGCUGGCUGCAACUGUUUAUUAAAAACACAGCACUGUGCAAACACGAAAGUGGACGUAUACGGUGUGACGCCUGCCCGGUGCCGGAAGGUUAAUUGAUGGGGUCAGCGCAAGCGAAGCUCUUGAUCGAAGCCCCGGUAAACGGCGGCCGUAACUAUAACGGUCCUAAGGUAGCGAAAUUCCUUGUCGGGUAAGUUCCGACCUGCACGAAUGGCGUAAUGAUGGCCAGGCUGUCUCCACCCGAGACUCAGUGAAAUUGAACUCGCUGUGAAGAUGCAGUGUACCCGCGGCAAGACGGAAAGACCCCGUGAACCUUUACUAUAGCUUGACACUGAACAUUGAGCCUUGAUGUGUAGGAUAGGUGGGAGGCUUUGAAGUGUGGACGCCAGUCUGCAUGGAGCCGACCUUGAAAUACCACCCUUUAAUGUUUGAUGUUCUAACGUUGACCCGUGAUCCGGGUUGCGGACAGUGUCUGGUGGGUAGUUUGACUGGGGCGGUCUCCUCCUAAAGAGUAACGGAGGAGCACGAAGGUUGGCUAAUCCUGGUCGGACAUCAGGAGGUUAGUGCAAUGGCAUAAGCCAGCUUGACUGCGAGCGUGACGGCGCGAGCAGGUGCGAAAGCAGGUCAUAGUGAUCCGGUGGUUCUGAAUGGAAGGGCCAUCGCUCAACGGAUAAAAGGUACUCCGGGGAUAACAGGCUGAUACCGCCCAAGAGUUCAUAUCGACGGCGGUGUUUGGCACCUCGAUGUCGGCUCAUCACAUCCUGGGGCUGAAGUAGGUCCCAAGGGUAUGGCUGUUCGCCAUUUAAAGUGGUACGCGAGCUGGGUUUAGAACGUCGUGAGACAGUUCGGUCCCUAUCUGCCGUGGGCGCUGGAGAACUGAGGGGGGCUGCUCCUAGUACGAGAGGACCGGAGUGGACGCAUCACUGGUGUUCGGGUUGUCAUGCCAAUGGCACUGCCCGGUAGCUAAAUGCGGAAGAGAUAAGUGCUGAAAGCAUCUAAGCACGAAACUUGCCCCGAGAUGAGUUCUCCCUGACUCCUUGAGAGUCCUGAAGGAACGUUGAAGACGACGACGUUGAUAGGCCGGGUGUGUAAGCGCAGCGAUGCGUUGAGCUAACCGGUACUAAUGAACCGUGAGGCUUAACCUU